GGAAAUGGGAAUGUGGAAUGGGAAAUGGGAAUGCGGAAUGGGGAAUGGGAAUGCAGGGAUGGAGCAGGCCAGGUCACUGCUCCCACCGCUCCUGUGUGUGCCAGGAACGGGAUUUUUAUCCCUCCAGGAACGGGAUUUUUAUCCCUCCAGGAGCCUCGUACAGCCCAGCUGACCCAGCCCAGGGGCAAACCCCUCUGGGCAGGGCAGGGCCAGCCCCCUCUCCUCAUUCCCAUUCUCAGCAGGAAAUCACGUCACUGCCCCAUCGUUUCUGUCCAUGUGCAGCAGCCCUGGGGCUGCUAACAAACUUGGGAACAGCAGCUCUUGCAAAACAUUAACCCAAGCCCACCAAAACACGUCAGCCUGUGUUUGCAGACGACUGGAGUGACCUCAGCCUGGUGGCACAGACAGGGGUAAUAGACUGUCACCUCUGGAACUGUCACUCCUGCCUGAGCCACUGAGGUCCUGCCCCUUGGAGCCAGAGGAUGGAGCUCUGCAGGUUCAUGUGCUGCUUUCUGUUUAACUUUGUCCCCUUUGCAGUCCUCUGGUCCCCAGAGCAGACCAGAACCCCUCUGCUCCCCUCCUGC